UACGUAGGGGGCAAGCGUUGUCCGGAUUUAUUGGGCGUAAAGAGCGUGUAGGCGGCUUGGCACGUCCGCUGUGAAAACUUGAGGCUUAACCUCGAGACGUCGGUGGAAACUGCCUGGCUAGAGUCCGGAAGAGGAGAGUGGAAUUCCUGGUGUAGCGGUGAAAUGCGCAGAUAUCAGGAAGAACACCCGUGGCUAAGGCGGCUCUCUAGUACGGUACUGACGCUGAGACGCGAAAGCGUGGGGAGCGAACAGG
rnacentral:rRNA from 1 species